rnacentral:lncRNA from 1 species
AGGUUGAACAUGUGACUGUUGAGUAGCGAUGAAUUCCUUCAUUUUCAUUAUUUCUUUCAUCGCAUUUUCUAAGGUAGACAAGCGAUCGUUCAAGGAUUUGUUUUCCUCAUUCAAGAAUUUGUUUUCUUCAUUCAAGGAUUUGUUAUCCUCUCGAGUUGAACGUUAAGCAGAAAAUAGUUCAGCCUUUGAAGAAGUUCCACCUUUUAAA